rfam:Astyanax mexicanus Tnplaced_Scaffold2547, whole genome shotgun sequence.
GGCUUCGGUAACCUACUCCUGAGAACGCACGAAUCUCGUCUGAUCUUCGGAAGCUAAGCAGGGUUUGGUCUGGUAAGUUACGUGGAUGGGAAGACAACCUGGGAGUACCAAGGUGCUGUAAGCU